UGAUUAUAAAAGGAGGUAGUUUUAUCUUGUAAUAUUUAGUAUGCCUACCUAUUGCUCUGGUGUUCAUCUGAAUAACUCUUGCUAUGUAAUGUACAUUUACCUCUAUAAAUCAAUGAUUGUCAAUAAAAUGAAUCUUAUUAUGUGUUGUACCAUACACACAGUGUCAUUAACCCCUUAAGGACACAUGACAUGUCAUCAUUCCCUUUUAUUCCAGAAGUUU